AUUGAACGCUGGCGGCAGGCCUAACACAUGCAAGUCGAACGAGUGGCGGACGGGUGAGUAAUGUCUGGGAAACUGCCCGAUGGAGGGGGAUAACUACUGGAAACGGUGGCUAAUACCGAAUAACAUCGGAUGUGGCCAGAUGGGAUUACCGUGUAGGAUAGGUAACGGCUCACCUAGGCGACGAUCCCUAGCGGGGCUGAGAGGGUGACCAGCCACAAUCGAACUGAGCAACGGUCCAGACUCCUGCGGGAGGCAGCAGCUGUGAUUAGUGCACUGUGGGCGAAGGCCGGAUGCAGCCAUGCCGCGUGUAUGAUGAAGGCCUUCGGGUUGUACAGUACUUUCAGCGGGGAGGCGUUACCCGCAGAAGAAGCACCGGCUAACGCCGUGCCAGCAGCCGCGGUAAUAC
rnacentral:rRNA from 1 species